GUCUCUUAACAUGAACCCUUCUUCUUCCUCUUCGCCUGUAGAUCUUGAAUACGUCGAACCGGAAUAGUAAGGGUUGCUGAAGGCUACGACCGGUCAGUUAUCUUCCGUUUCCGAAUUCCACCGUUGAAGCAUAUUAGUCUGUUUCUUCUACUUUCGAAAUCCUACAACGUAUUUCAGAAUCAUGAAUCCUUAUGACCAUAGAUACAACGAUCCCAAUUCCUACCGAGAACGCCGAAGUGACCUUGUGGGUCUACAGCCUGCUGGGCCACCGCCAAUAGUAGGGCGUGAAUCCUUGUACAAAGGUUAUCAACCUCCUCCAGUUCCAUACUAUGGCCGUGAAAGAGGUGGAGGAGGUGCUUUACCUAAUGCAGGAGGCUUCAAUGGCUUCCCACGGUUUCAGCCUCCCGCAGGACCGUUUAAUAUCGGCCGCGGUGGCAGUGGUUCCGGUAACAGCGGUGGUGGUCGGAGAAUGUUUGAUUCGGGGAGGGGCGGUAGAAGAACUGGUGGGAAUAUUGGUUUUGGAGGUGGACGUGGUGGAGGCACGGGAUUUGACGGCCGUGCUGGCGGAAGAGGGGCUGGACGUGGUGGUGGUUCUUCAAGAGGGGAUUUAGAUAACAUAGUCCUUCCGAAUCAGAAUUUUGGCAAUUUAGUCCCUUUUGAAAAGAAUUUCUACACUGAGUGUCCUUCUGUUCGUGCAAUGACGGAGUCUGAAGUUAAGAUUUACAGAGAGAGGCGUGAUAUUAGAGUGGAAGGAUACGAUGUUCCAAGACCGAUUCGGAGUUUUCAGGAGGCGAAUUUUCCUGCUUACUGCCUUGAUGUAAUUGCGAAAUUGGGAUUUGUUGAGCCAACUCCAAUUCAGGCUCAAGGAUGGCCGAUGGCCAUGAAAGGAAGAGAUUUGAUUGGCAUCGCUGAGACUGGUUCUGGGAAGACUCUAGCCUAUCUACUGCCAGCUUUAAUACACAUUAGUGCCCAGCCUCGUUUAGCGCAUGGUGAAGGUCCUAUUGUGUUGGUGUUAGCACCCACUAGAGAAUUAGCUGUUCAAAUUCAACAAGAGGCUACUAAAUUCGGGUUGCGUGCUAAUAUUAGAAGUACUUGCAUUUAUGGUGGGGCGCCGAAGGGCCCUCAAAUUCGUGAUCUUAAAAAUGGUGUUGAGAUUGUUAUUGCUACACCUGGUCGGCUCAUAGAUAUGCUCGAAGCUGGCCACACUAACCUGCGGCGAGUGACUUACCUUGUUUUAGAUGAAGCGGAUAGAAUGCUGGACAUGGGAUUUGAGCCUCAAAUAAGGACUAUCGUUAGCCAAAUCCGACCUGAUAGGCAGACAUUAUAUUGGAGUGCCACAUGGCCAAGGGAGGUUGAGAAAUUGGCUAGACAAUUUUUACGUAAUGCAUAUAAGGUGAUUAUUGGUUCACCAGAUCUUAAAGCUAACCAGUCUAUAAACCAAGUCGUUGAAGUUUUGCCAGAGUCUGAAAAAUAUAGAAGGUUAAUAAAAUUGCUUGUAGAAGUGAUGGAUGGUAGUCGUAUUCUGAUUUUUGUGGAAACAAAAAAGGGAUGUGAUAAAGUAACGAGACAAUUGAGAAUGGAUGGAUGGCCAGCUCUAUCCAUUCAUGGCGAUAAAAAGCAGGCUGAAAGGGACUUGGUUUUGUCAGAAUUUAAGAGUGGAAGAAACCCCAUAAUGACAGCCACAGAUGUGGCUGCAAGAGGGCUUGGUAGGAUUACUACAUGUCAGGUGUUUUACGUUUUAAUCUAGGCCCCGUUUGAUAACAAUUUCUUUUUUAGUUAACUUAUACAUGUUUCCUCCAAUUUUCUUAGCAUGGUUUUCAUCCCUCUUAAAACAAAUAUUUGAAUUCUUAGUAAAAUUCCAAAAACAAAAACAAGAGUUUUAUCUAUUUUUGUUAGUUUUCAAAACUCGACUUGAUUUUUGAAAAUAUUGGUAGAAAGUAAAUAACGAAACAAAGAUACUUAUGGAUGGAAGUAGUGCUUAUAACCUUACUUUUCAAGAACCAAAAACUAAAUAUUUAUCAAAUGAGGUCUUGGGUGUUCGUUUUCAAAUUCUAAUGAGUCGGCCAGCUGCUUUCCAGUUCCCGAAUAUAAUUUGUGGCUUGGGUGCAGAGGAGAGUUCAAUUGUGCAAUGUGCAGUGCAUGAUGAUUGUGAGACUGCUUGGUUUUGCCUCCCAUUUUAAACUGCAUAUGCUUUUGGUUUCUUUCUCUGGACUAAAGAGAUUUUUUUGCUUCCCAACACUGCCUUAGGUUUAGUUUACAUGCUACUUCUUCUGGGCUCCCUUCUUGCAUCCUUUGGGGUAGUAAUGUCAUAUGGUGAAGGAAGAAGGUUUGGUUUAAAGGAAACAGAGCCAGUCCCUUUUCUUACUGGCUGCUAGUACAUUGUUAAAUCAUGGCAUGAAUGUCGUAUGGAGACAAAGAUGAUGUUAUUUUGAGGUUUCUCAAUGAUUUUUUUCCAGGUUAAAGGGGAGGGAAAUCCUAUUCUCUGUAAAUCCUAUGUAUUAAUGGGUUGGUAAAGGAUAAUGAGAAAGCAGAAUUUGAUGAGUUUACGUAAAGAGAUCAUUUCCUUUGAGCCUGGUUGACUCAUUCAUUAUUGCAUUGUUGGUAUGGAAGUCGUCGUGGUGACAGCUGCUACUUAUCCCUGCAAAGUUAAGAUGUGAAAGAUAUAAAAUGUGUGAUCAACUAUGAUUUCCCAUCAAGCCUCGAGGACUACGU